UAAUUUGUAUUGAUUUUUCAACGCUCCGAGAAAUUAAAAUUCGUGCCUGUGCCUGUUGCUAGAGCUGCAACGGUACUCCAAAUCAAUUCGCUGGCCAGCCCACACCGCCCCACCUGCACCACCAUAGGUCUCGCCGAGACGGCUGUCCUAGAUCUGAUGGCUGCCAAUUUGCAACAGCAGCGGUCCAUCAAUGCCCAACUGCGUCGCGAGAUGGCAAUAGAACGCAUGCAGGUCUCUGAAGCCUGUGCGCUGAUGAUGAAGUACAUGCUGGAGCACGAGGAGGAGGACUCGCUGCUGAGCGGAUUCAACGGUCAAAAGUUGAACCCGUUCCGUGAAAAGAACUCGUGCAGCAUCCUAUAAGUAUAAGUGCGAGCUGUGCCCCUCCCGACACAGGUUCCUAACAACAGUAUUUAUUGAUAUGCAUAUACAGAGAAUUACUCAUAUACCCGUACUAUAUUGUACUGUACUCAAAUAGACCCGCCGAAUGGCAGGGAAUACACUACGCAUGCAUGUGUGUGUGUAUUAGUAUAACCCAUUGAUGUUUGUUGGCAGAUAUUUAUGAAUGUGUAAACAUUCGUUUCGGGAACCGUCUUUAACAAUAUGCCUGCAUAUGUUUGUAUGUAUAAAUAUCGUGUAUUUUGCUAUCCUGUAGCUCUUUUUUGGAGAAAUACAUACAUAUUUAUGAAUUAGCAGUUUCCACGAAGAUAUAACCUAGCCCCACCCCAAACCUCCCUCUAUAAAUGUUUCUUAUUGAG